UGAUCAUAGAAGACUGUAGAUAAUCUCAGGGU
rnacentral:piRNA from 1 species